CCUUAUUCAAGUCCUUCUGCACUAUGUACCUACGUGGCGUGGUCCGAUUGGACGGAUGAGCAUUCAUGGUGGCGUCAAAUGAGACUCGCCGUUGAGUCCCUUGAAGCACCACUCCUCUGCUGUUGUGUUGGUUCCGCUUGUUCGUGUCCCAAUCUCGAAACCUUGUCUCUCACACGAAUUCAAGCACUCACCUUUCGAGGUUUCGAUCCAUUUAUCAGGACGAAUUGAAUUCACGGACUGGAUAAUCUGAACCGAAAGCCCCAUUUGUGGAUUCGAAUUGAGAUUGGAAUUUGCCCAAUUCGAGCGCUGGUUUGUCCAUGCUGGCAUUUAUUGUUCUUGUUAUCGAGUUUUGGGAAUUGGGUUUGUUGAAUUGUUGAAUUAGCAGUAGGUUUUUGACAAUGGAAGGUAAUAAGGAUGAGGCUUUGAGGUGUGUUCGGAUCGCCGAAGAAGCAAUUGCUUCCGGCAACAAAGGGCGUGCCUUUAAAUUUAUUAAGAUUGCACAACGGCUUAAUCAGAAUUUGCAAGUUGAUGAACUUUUGGCUGCGUGUGAGGCAAUUAAUUCGGGGUCUUCCGCGUCUUCUGUUGAUGAGAAGGGUGCUGGUGAGAUUAGGAAUGAGCCGGGUGUGGAGAAAUUGGGCCGCGGUUUGAAUGGGGAAGUUAGUUAUACCGAAGAGCAUGUUCAGUUGGUUAGGAAGAUUAAGAGAAACAAAGACUAUUACGAAAUUCUUGGCGUGGAGAAGACUUGCUCGGUCGAGGACAUUAGGAAGGCUUAUAGGAAGUUGUCAUUGAAAAUUCAUCCUGAUAAGAACAAGGCUCCCGGUUCAGAAGAAGCGUUUAAGAUAGUAAGCAAGGCUUUCAAGUGUUUGAGUGAUGGGGAUUCAAGGAGGCAGUAUGAUCAGACUGGAUUGGUUGAUGAAUUUGAGUACAACCAGCAGCACAAUAAUACGAGGAGAAGGAGGAGGAGAGGUGGGAAUGACUUUUUUGACGAUGAUUUUGACCCCGAUGACAUAUUCAGGGCGUUCUUUGGUCGAUCAGACAUGUUUCGGUCAAGUCAUGUUUAUAGGACUAGUAGAACAGCUGGUCAUCAGAGGGAGGAGUCUCAGGGAGGGGGACCUAAUAUCAUGCUUCUUCUUCAAAUAUUACCUUUCUUGGUAAUUUUGUUGUUGGCAUAUCUGCCCUUUUCAGAGCCCGUCUACUCUUUGCAGAAGAUUUAUAACUACCAGAUUCCCAAGACGACAGAGAAAUAUGGAGUGGAAUUUUUUGUUAAAUCGCAAGCAUUUGAUGAGUGUUAUCCCAUUGGAAGUGCUGGUCGAGUUAACAUUGAGAGCAGUGUUAUCAAGGAUUACAAAAAUGUGCUUGCACACUACUGUCGGGUUGAGCUUCAAAGACGCCACUGGAGUAGGAAUCUGCCUACUCCUCACUGCGACAAACUAAAUAAGAUUGGAGUAGCAUGAAGAGGCUAUAUGGCUGAAGUGGAUGUUGAGUGCCACUAUGUUGAGCCUGGACUUCAAAGUUCAGUGUGUUGAUAUUGUAAAUGCUCCGGUCGACUUCUUUGAAAGUGACCAAGGAUUGCUGAUCCUCUCCAAUAUGACUUGCUGGCCAUACAGCUGUUCAGGAAUGUCGUCCAGGAAAGCGGUAGCGAGGGUUUUCAGCACCCUAAUGGCAUAUCAUUUGGCGAGAAAUAAUAGUGUAUACAACUCUUGAAAUUACCUGGAAGGUCAAUACUAGUUACGAAAGUUUAUGAAAAGUUGAGCAAGAGAUACUAAGCAUGUCUAUAUGCAAGUAGCGAGCCGUGCAGCUUAAGCAUCAGCCCUUAUCGUUCGUUAUUUGUUGUUUCGAAGAAUUUAUCUCGUUUCUUA